AUUUGGUUGAACAACAUCAAAGAAAGAAGAAGAAGGAAAGGAGAGAAGGGGAAGAAGGAAGUAAGGUCGAAUUGGGGCUGCCUGCACUCAAGUAAGGAACCUAAACAAUUGGGCAAGGACACGAAGUUGAUUGUGGGAUAUCCUAUCGUACACCGUGAUUUGGGUUUUGAGCAGUGGCGAUUGAAGUGAUCUGCUCUCUGGUUCGCCUGCCCUCCCACCAAUAACGUUUGCUUCAGCCAGCCAGCGACUCUACAAAUUUGGAUUUGGUAUUCUCCUUCUCCUCUCUCUCCCUCUCUAAGUUUGUCUUGCAUUUUGGACUUGGUUCAUGAGGAUCAGUUAAUCAGGUCUACUAUCAUGACGUGGGUUCUACUGUAAAGGUCUUUAUCAAAGGAAAAAGAUGAUUAUCUUGCGGUGGGGAUUAUGGUGGUUGGUGUUAGUAUAUGUGUUUCUGAAGGAAAUUAUUUGACUGUUAUACAGUUUGUUUGUUAGCUCAUGAAGAAAAGGGUAUCUGUUAGUGGUGGGAUUCUCAUUAUUUGGUUUAAUCUACUGAAGGAAACAAGGUAUGAGAGCUAUGUAUCUACUGUAAGAGGAGGAUUAAAUAGUCAGGGUUUUAGAAGGAUGAGCUUUUGUGGGCCUGUGGAAAUAGUGCUUAUGAAGGGGAAUUUUGGUUAGCAGGACUUGCAAUUUGAAAGGCCAGUUUUUUUUUUUGGUUGGUUUCAUUGUGGUCACUUUCACAUCUCAGCAUCCAGAAACACUAGUUUUCUUU